rnacentral:rRNA from 1 species
GAUGAACGCUGGCGGCGUGCCUAAUACAUGCAAGUCGAGCGAACAGACGAGGAGCUUGCUCCUCUUACGUUAGCGGCGGACGGGUGAGUAACACGUGGAUAACCUACCUAUAAGACUGGGAUAACUUCGGGAAACCUGAGCUAAUACCGGAUAAUAUAUUGAACCGCAUGGUUCAAUAGUGAAAGACGGUUUUGCUGUCACUUAUAGAUGGAUCCGCGCCGCAUUAGCUAGUUGGUAAGGUAACGGCUUACCAAGGCGACGAUGCGUAGCCGACCUGAGAGGGUGAUCGGCCACACUGGAACUGAGACACGGUCCAGACUCCUACGGGAGGCAGCAGUAGGGAAUAUUCCGCAAUGGGCGAAAGCCUGACGGAGCAACGCCGCGUGAGUGAUGAAGGUCUUCGGAUCGUAAAACUCUGUUAUUAGGGAAGAACAAAUGUGUAAGUAACUAUGCACGUCUUGACGGUACCUAAUCAGAAAGCCACGGCUAACUACGUG